rnacentral:rRNA from 1 species
GUGCCAGCAGCCGCGGUAAUACGAAGGGUGCAAGCGUUGCUCGGAAUUAUUGGGCGUAAAGGGUUGGUAGGUGGUCUUGUUUGUCUAAGGUGAAAUCCCAUGGCUUAACUGUGGAAGUGCCUUAGAAACGGCAAGACUAGAGUCCUAGAGGGGUUUGUGGAAUUCCCGGUGUAGCGGUGAAAUGCGUAGAGAUCGGGAGGAACACCAGCGGCGAAGGCGGCAAACUGGAUAGGCACUGACACUCAACAACGAAAGCGUGGGGAGCAAACAGGAUUAGAUACCCUGGUAGUCC